AGCGAACGCUGGCGGCAGGCCUAACACAUGCAAGUCGAACGGAUCCUUCGGGAUUGGUGGCGGACGGGUGAGUAACACGUGGGAACGUGCCCUUUGGUUCGGAACAACUCAGGGAAACUUGAGCUAAUACCGGAUGUGCCCUUCGGGGGAAAGAUUUAUCGCCAUUGGAGCGGCCCGCGUCUGAUUAGCUAGUUGGUGAGGUAAAGGCUCACCAAGGCGACGAUCAGUAGCUGGUCUGAGAGGAUGAUCAGCCACAUUGGGACUGAGACACGGCCCAAACUCCUACGGGAGGCAGCAGUGGGGAAUCUUGCGCAAUGGGCGAAAGCCUGACGCAGCCAUGCCGCGUGAAUGAUGAAGGUCUUAGGAUUGUAAAAUUCUUUCACCGGGGACGAUAAUGGCGGUACCCGGAGAAGAAGCCCCGGCUAACUUCGUGCCAGCCGCCGCCGUAAGAC
rnacentral:rRNA from 1 species